UAGGAAAAAAAAAAAAAUAUAUAUAUAUAUAUAUAUAUAAAACACCAAAUUUACCUGAAGGUGGAAAUGGAAGUUGUUAUAUGAAGUAUGAUGUUGCUGUGUGCUCUAAUUUGUUCUGCUUUGAGAAAAUAAAUAAAUAAAUAAAUAAAUAAAUAAAUAAAUAGAUUUACAGGAUCAGUGAUAAGUAUCAGUGAAAGGGCUUUUUUUUUUUUUUCUUGUCCUUCCUAGCUGUCUGCAGACUGAGCUCUCCUCUCUGUACUUGGUUGAACAGUUCAUUUCAAGACAAAUUAUCUACAGUUACCACUUCUUUCAGGCACCAAGUUCAAGAGCAGUGAAACCUUAGGUUCCCCUCCCAAGCCAUGGAAAAGAAAGCUUUCUGUCAGUACAGGUCAACAGAGAAGGUCCAUUCGCUAUUGUCCUGUCCAUUUUCUUCCCAGUACUUGAGACAGGAAGCACAAGGUGAGAGCACAGCAAUAUCGUGAGCACAAAGAAAGGAAGGCAGAGAUCACCCAAUAGAAAUUCUGACAGAGACCUUUAAGUGAGAUGCUUUGCUGACAAUGGAAAGGUUUUUUUGUUCUGUUUUUGUUUGUUUUUUUUUUGUUAUUGUUGUUGUUUUGCUUGCUUGUUUGUUAGUUUAAUGAUAAAACUUGGGUGGUUCACUGUUUUUGUUUGUUUGUUUGUUUGUUUUUAGUAAAUGUGCUUCAAGUAUAUUUCUGAAAGCCAUCUCAGAAAUGUCAUGAUUUUCAGCACUUAAUCUAUGCUUGUUUGCAUUUCCCACAUCAUCAUCAUCAGGAAAGAUAACGUUGGAGGGCAGAUCGGGAGCUAAACCCAAGAAAACUGAGUCUUCCCAGAAAGGUUGUUGCAAUGUGCUUGGAAGUGAGAUUGAACAAAGAUAGCACAGGAUACAAUGUGCCCAAAAAGCAUUGGCUACUGCUGCCAAGGUGGCAGGUAAAAAGAACACAGUUAAAGCCCUAAAUGGUCUUCCAGUCC
rnacentral:lncRNA from 1 species